rnacentral:rRNA from 1 species
CCAGACUCCUACGGGAGGCAGCAGUGGGGAAUAUUGCACAAUGGGGGAAACCCUGAUGCAGCGACGCCGCGUGAGUGAAGAAGUAUUUCGGUAUGUAAAGCUCUAUCAGCAGGGAAGAAAAACCGACCUUAGGGUCGCUAGACGGUACCUGAUUAAGAAGCCCCGGCUAACUACGUGCCAGCAGCCGCGGUAAUACGUAGGGAGCGAGCGUUGUCCGGAUUUACUGGGUGUAAAGGGUGCGUAGGCGGCUAUGCAAGUCAGUAGUGAAAUCCAUGGGCUUAACCCAUGAACUGCUAUUGAAACUGCACAGCUUGAGUGAAGUAGAGGGAGGCGGA